UACGUAGGGGGCAAGCGUUGUCCGGAUUUAUUGGGCGUAAAGAGCGUGUAGGCGGUUAGGUAGGUCCGUUGUGAAAACUCGAGGCUCAACCUCGAGACGCCGAUGGAAACCAUCUAACUAGAGUCCGGAAGAGGAGAAUGGAAUUCCUGGUGUAGCGGUGAAAUGCGCAGAUAUCAGGAAGAACACCCGUGGCGAAGGCGGCUCUCGUGGGACGGUACUGACGCUGAGACGCGAAAGCGUGGGGAGCGAACAGG
rnacentral:rRNA from 1 species